CACAAGCGGUGGAGUAUGUGGUUAAUUCGAUGCAACGCGAAGAACCUUACCUGGUCUUGACAUCCCGGAGACCCUUAGGAAACUAGGGGGUGCUUCCAUCUGGAAGAAUCUGGAGACAGGUGCUGCAUGGCUGUCGUCAGCUCGUGUCGUGAGAUGUUGGGUUAAGUCCCGCAACGAGCGCAACCCUUAUCUUUAGUUGCCAUUAGUUCGGCUGGGCACUCUAUGGAGACUGCCACCUAAAGUGGAGGAAGGUGGGGAUGACGUCAAGUCAGCAUGGCCCUUACGUCCGGGGCUACACACGUGCUACAAUGGCCGGUACAAAGGGUUGCGAAGCCGUGAGGUGGAGCGAAUCUCAAAAAGCCGGCCUCAGUUCGGAUUGGAGGCUGCAACUCGCCUCCAUGAAGUCGGAAUCGCUAGUAACCGCAGAUCAGCUACGUUGCGGUGAAUACGUUCCCGGGCCUU
rnacentral:rRNA from 1 species